AUUGAUAAAACACGAUACGAUAUUAUAAAUUUCAUAAAAUGACACCGAGGUUUAGAGUAAAUGAUAAAACACGAGACGAUAUAAAUUUCAAAAAAUGACACCGAGGUUUAGAGUAAUUGAUAAAACACGCUACGAUUAAUUUCAUAAAAUGACUACGACAUUUAGAGUAAUUGAUAAAACACGAUACGAUAUAAAUUUCAUAAAAUUACACCAA